CAGUCGCCGCGGUAAUACGUAGGGUGCAAGCGUUGUCCGGAAUUAUUGGGCGUAAAGAGCUCGUAGGCGGUUUGUCGCGUCUGCUGUGAAAACGCGAGGCUCAACCUCGCGCCUGCAGUGGGUACGGGCAGACUAGAGUGUGGUAGGGGAGAUUGGAAUUCCUGGUGUAGCGGUGGAAUGCGCAGAUAUCAGGAGGAACACCGAUGGCGAAGGCAGAUCUCUGGGCCAUUACUGACGCUGAGGAGCGAAAGCGUGGGGAGCGAACAGGAUUAGAUACCCCAGUAGUCCCUGUCUCUUAUAC
rnacentral:rRNA from 1 species